CAUUUAAUGGGCUUCGCUAUUGAGGGCUGCGCAUGUGCUUGUAGAACUGGUGUUACAUCCAGGUAAUUUCUAUUUAUGCGAUUUAUGAUUUUUUUUAACUUACUUUUUAUUUAUAGAUACAUUUUCUCUUUUACAUGAGACACCUGGCCUAAAUGUCUGUCCUGUCUGUCUCUGUCCACAGCUCCUUUGUGUGUAACUUUCAAUGUAGGGAUAUCCUCUAACACAUGGUUCAUGGUCUCUCCGAUGAUAGAAACUUCCUAUCGGUGUGUCUUUCUCUGUAUGUGUGUGCGUACUUUUAAUGUGUAGGAGUGAGACUGCUGAGGCGGAGGAAAGUCCUGUAGUUUCAAAGGGCACGGCAGGCAGAGGGGACUGAGCCAGUCGCAGCAGCUGCCCUGGAGAUGUCUCAGAUGAUAAUCAUCCACACUCAUGUUGUUGACUCAGACUUUCAGGGCUUGGCAGGGAGCGUGUGCACGGCAGUCUGAUUACAACAGCCAAUGUGUCAGCGUUGAGACAGGAACGCAUCAUGGAAAGUGUCAGCAACACAUCAUCCACAGCUUUUGUCUGUCUCGCUUCCAGGCGCUGUUCUGGACUACCACAACCACCACAUGACACAACAGAGCACCGAGCGCCAAGCCAUGUGAGGGAGUGAAAGUGGGAUCUGUUUGUCUGCAUCAUUGCUAUGGCAGAACCAAGUAGUCGGGAUGGUGUCCAUAAUGUGCUGUAUUCACCUACUGUAUUGUCCUGAAUUGUUCAGCAUUCAAUAUUACUAAAAUACUGGCUUCAGCUAGUUAAAGUGGUAUGAUUUGCUCAGCCAAGGUCUGUCCUUCAAAAGGAGACCUGCUUUCUGGGCCACUAACAAGCACCAGCUCACUUUUCUGACACACAUUUCUGAUACUAUAACUGUAAUAUUAUUAUAAACAUCUGUUUUGCAACUACAAGCUAUUAUUUGAAUUUGAGCUAUGUUUUAAUAAUUGUGGGGUGUGGCUUACAUGCUUUUGGACUGAAGUGGGAAGUGUGAGACAUGAUUUAUGUAAAAAUUUGAAAGACGAUUUGUGAUGCUUGAUGAAGAGUGGAAAAAUAAUCAGGAGUUUUGGCAACAGCGCAUUUUAUGACUGAAAAUGUGGGCUGUGUGUAUGGGAAUCUUUUUCACUUUAAAGGUUGUACAGUACACAGGUUGUGUUCAAGGUGCAAGAAUAUGCAAAUAAACUGCAGUGGUGUAUUGAUCUGCAAGCAACAGCAAAAGUGAAGCGGGAGAUCUUUCUCUUUGUGUGAUGUGCUGAAACCUGAGACAGCUAAAGGGUGUGUUCACAAGAAAACAUAUUUUCUCACUCACGACCUAAUGUGAUCUGAGGUUUGUUUUGUGUUCCUUAAAGCACUGACAAAAGGGAUGGUAAGGAAAUCUUUUUUGUAAUUUGGGGAAAUGGAUGAAGCUGCUGCUAGGUGGUGUUGCAGAUCUUAUUCUGAGCCUAACCACUUUGUCAGCUACAGCUUGCUUCACACAGAGGAUGGAGGAAGCUCCAGGAAUUCACCUGCUGUGGAGGCACUUUAAAAGUUCAGUCGACUCCCACAGCUCCUGUUAGUGAAGGUGUCUGCCUUCAUCAGCUUUAUCGCA